UUGCAAAUUCCACUUCUUGAAGCUAUACCCUAGCUUCCGGGUGUUGAGUUCUUCCUCGUCAUUGAUCUGGAUUGAGGUAAGGGACUGUUGAGCUUAUGGACAGGGAUCAAGGUGCUGUGAGCUGUUGGAUUUGCUGCCAUCCCUCAAGGACUUGGAUUUGGGACGAGCGUCUCGACGCAGGAUUACUUGGCACGAUCUACAUUUUAAG